GAGGUGUUCUCUUUGGAUUUAAGAGGCUGCUAACUUCUUUUAGAGUAAUUAAGAAUUGUUCACACCUCU
rnacentral:tRNA from 1 species